rnacentral:rRNA from 1 species
CCUUCCCGUAAGGGGACCUGCGGAAGGAUCAUUAACGAAUAUCUAUGGCGUUGGUUGUAGCUGGCUCCUAGGAGCAUUGUGCACGCCCGUCAUUCAUAUCAUCUUUCCACCUGUGAACCAUGUGUAGGCCUGGAUACCCCUCGCUUUGGCAACAAAGCGGAUGCAAGGAUUGCUGCGUCGACAAGGCCGGCUCUCUUUGAAUUUCCAGGUUCUAUGUCUUUUACACACCCCAUUCGAAUGAUUUAGAAUGUAGUCAAUGGGCUUUCAUGCCUAUAAAAAACUAUACAACUUUCAGCAACGGAUCUCUUGGCUCUCGCAUCGAUGAAGAACGCAGCGAAAUGCGAUAAGUAAUGUGAAUUGCAGAAUUCAGUGAAUCAUCGAAUCUUUGAACGCACCUUGCGCUCCUUGGUAUUCCGAGGAGCAUGCCUGUUUGAGUGUCAUUAAAUUCUCAACCUCACCAGUUUUGUAACGAGACAGGUGAAGGCUUGGAUGUGGGGGUUUUGCAGGCUGCCUCAGUGCUGGUCUGCUCCCCUGAAAUGCAUUAGCGAGCUCAUAUUGAGCUUCCGUCUAUUGGUGUGAUAAUUAUCUACGCCGUGGAUUGGACUCAUGCUUGCUUCUAACCGUCCGCAAGGACAAUUUACUUGACCAAUUUGACCUCAAAUCAGGUAGACAGCUCGGC